rnacentral:rRNA from 1 species
UACGGGGGGGGCAAGCGUUGUUCGGAAUUACUGGGCGUAAAGGGUUUGUAGGUGGCCAACUAAGUCAGACGUGAAAUCCCUCAGCUUAACUGGGGAACUGCGUCUGAUACUGGUUGGCUUGAGUGCAGGAGAGGAACGCGGAAUUCCAGGUGUAGCGGUGAAAUGCGUAGAGAUCCGGAGGAACACCAGGGGCGAAAGCGGCCGACUGGCUGAGUACUGACGCUGAGGCGCGACGGCGUGGGGAGCAAACCGG